AUGUACAGAAAACCAACAUGGAACAGCGCUGACAAGCUUGAGGGCCACAUUACUCUCAGUCCAGCCUGGGAUUUAUCAUUCAGCCUAGAGUGUGGGCCCCCAGAGGCCACGCUACAGAAUGAAAAGUUGAGAAAAGUUCAUCACGGGACAACAGGUGAUCUUGCUGUUAUUCAUGAGAGGUGCCUGCACAAGCUGGUAAAGAGCUAUCAAGGGCCGGGUGCGGUGGCUCAUGCCUGUAAUCCCAGCACUUUGGGAGGACGAGGCGUAUGGCUCACUUCAGGUCAGGAGUUCGAGACCAGCCUGGCCAACAUGGUAAAACCCUGUCUCUACUAAAAAUGCAAAACUUAGCUGGGUAUGGUGGGGUAUGCCUGCAAUCCCAGCUACUUGGGAGGCUGAGGCAGGAGAAUUGCUCGAACCCAGGAGGUGGAGGUGGUCGCAAUGAGCCAACAUUGAGCCACUCCCUCAAACCUGGGCGAAAGAGCAAGAUUCUGACUCAAAGAAAAAAAGAAGAAGAAGCUAUCAUUGCACCAUGGGCCUGGAACAUAACUGAGGACCACUGAAUUCUUAGGAAGAGUAGCUUUGGAAACCUCAGGCUGGCCCUUAUCAAGAAAGAAAUGAGCAUAGCAUUUGGUUACAUGUCCCGUAAACUGACAGGGCAAUCACCUGAAGGAGACAGACUACAUUCAAUGCUCUUCUGAUGAGUUCACACUGGUGAGCAAAUUGCCUGGGACCCCCACCAGUGAGAGCAGACCACAAACAGAUCUUCAGCAAAGAGGUCUUCAUUAGGCAAUCAAUUUUUUUUUUUGAUGCAUUAAAUCACACUCCAUGAGAAGACAUGAUCAGAAUCCAUUCAGACAGGAACCUGUGAUUUACACACACUUGUUCUGUGAAAGUUGUCAGAAACAAAAUGGAGUCACUAAUAUAAGAAAAAGAAAAAACACCUGACCAAUAGGGCCGAGAAAGGCAAUGAAGAGAGAAUUCUCGUGCUUGCGUGCCUAGUGAUAAAAACCAUCACAAAAGACGCUGCAAAGUACACAACCUUGCAUAAAGGGCGUCACAACUCUGCACAAAAAAUACUUGUGCCAGGGCACGUGCCCAACAGCUGCCUGUCCAAGUUCAGAGGUGUCACCCUUGUUAUUGAUCUUUGUAGCCAAGGUCUCAAAACGAUUGCAUUCAUCCUCCUCGUGUUUUCCUUGACAACUUUUGUCUUGCUUUACCUUUCUGAGCAUGCCGUAGUUUACUAGGACAUACAUAUUCCCAACGCAAUGCCCUACUCAUGGACAACUGUCUUUUUCUUUUGGAGAGCCUUUCUCUGUUUGUUGUUUAGGUUGAC
rnacentral:lncRNA from 13 species